UUGUCUUGAUGACAGGUGAUAUAUCUCGUUAGCAGGUACCAUUGUCUUGAUGACAGGUGAUAUAUCUCAUUAGCAGGUACCAUUGUCUUGAUGACAGGUGAUAUAUCUCAUUAGCAGGUACCACUUCCUUGAUGACAGGUGAUAUAUCUCAUUAGCAGGUACCACUUCCUUGAUGACAGGUAACACAUCUCAUUAGCAGGUACCACUUCCUUGAUGACAGGUGAUAUAUCUCAUUAGCAGGUACCACUUCCUUGAUGACAGGUGAUAUAUCUCAUUAGCAGGUACCACUUCCUUGAUGACAGGUGAUAUAUCUCAUUAGCAGGUACCACUUCCUUGAUGACAGGUGAUAUAUCUCAUUAGCAGGUACCACUUCCUUGAUGACAGGUGAUAUAUCUCAUUAGCAGGUACCACUUCCUUGAUGACAGGUGAUAUAUCUCAUUAGCAGGUACCACUUCCUUGAUGACAGGUAACACAUCUCGUUAACAGGUAGCACUGUCUUGGUGACAGGUGAUAUAUCUCAUUAGCAGGUACCACUUCCUUGAUGACAGGUAACACAUCUCGUUAACAGGUACCACUUCCUUGAUGACAGGUAACACAUCUCUUUAACAGGUAGCACUGUCUUGAUGACAGGUGAUAUAUCUCAUUAGCAGGUACCACUUCCUUGAUGACAGGUGAUAUAUCUCAUUAGCAGGUACCACUUCCUUGAUGACAGGUAACACAUCUCGUUAACAGGUAGCACUGUCUUGAUGACAGGUGAUAUAUCUCAUUAGCAGGUACCACUUCCUUGAUGACAGGUGAUAUAUCUCAUUAGCAGGUACCACUUCCUUGAUGACAGGUAACACAUCUCGUUAACAGGUAGCACUGUCUUGAUGACAGGUGAUAUAUCUCAUUAACAGGUACGACUGUCUUGAUGAAAUGGUAACGCAUCUUGUAACAGGUACUACUGUCUUGAUGACAGGUAACACAUCUCGUUAACAGGUAGCACUGUCUUGAUGACAGGUGAUAUAUCUCAUUAACAGGUACCACUGUCUUAAUGAAAUGGGGGGGCACGGGUGGCCAAGUCGUCUAAGGCGCC